CGCGUAGGCGGCUUGACAAGUCACUUGUGAAAUCUCCGGGCUUAACUCGGAACGGCCAAGUGAAACUGUCAUGCUAGAGUGCAGAAGGGGCAAUCGGAAUUCUUGGUGUAGCGGUGAAAUGCGUAGAUAUCAAGAGGAACACCUGAGGUGAAGACGGGUUGCUGGGCUGACACUGACGCUGAGGCGCGAAGCCAGGGAGCAAACG
rnacentral:rRNA from 1 species